ensembl:lncRNA
CCGAUACUCACAGGCUCGGCCCACCCAAUAAAGAAACAGGUCACAAUGGAAAGGGGAGUGUCUGAGCUGAGCUGACUGGGCCAUUCUGUGCUAAGCGACUCUUCAGAGCAUACAAGCAGACACCACAGAGCACAUCAUCUGUAGACGUCUCUUCUCUAAAAGGGGAAUUAUUCUCAUAAAUGGAGAUGCUCAAAAUGUCUUUGGGGGAAAAGCAGGCUGUUCUGAACCAGGAAACCAUUAUUUGUCAACUAAAGAGAUAAGAUCAUCAACCUUUUCUUCCAGACUGCUAUGGAGCCCAAGACGAACAGUAGGCGAGGUUCCAUGCAGCUGAGCAAGGCAACCGGGUGAGCCAGCUGAGUACAUAACACAACAACUCAGCCAAUUUGACUUGAUUAUCAUUCAAAUAAACACAACACGCCAUUAGCUGGUGAACAAACAAUGGCACAGUUGCAC